GUGUUUAUUUUACCUUGUUGCUUCGGCGGGCCCGCCUUAACUGGCCGCCGGGGGGCUUACGCCCCCGGGCCCGCGCCCGCCGAAGACACCCUCGAACUCUGUCUGAAGAUUGUAGUCUGAGUGAAAAUAUAAAUUAUUUAAAACUUUCAACAACGGAUCUCUUGGUUCCGGCAUCGAUGAAGAACGCAGCGAAAUGCGAUACGUAAUGUGAAUUGCAAAUUCAGUGAAUCAUCGAGUCUUUGAACGCACAUUGCGCCCCCUGGUAUUCCGGGGGGCAUGCCUGUCCGAGCGUCAUUUCUGCCCUCAAGCACGGCUUGUGUGUUGGGCCCCGUCCUCCGAUCCCGGGGGACGGGCCCGAAAGGCAGCGGCGGCACCGCGUCCGGUCCUCGAGCGUAUGGGGCUUUGUCACCCGCUCUGUAGGCCCGGCCGGCGCUUGCCGAUCAACCCAAAUUUUUAUCCAGGUUGACCUCGGAUCAGGUAGGGAUACCCGCUGAACUUAAGCAUAUCAAUAA
rnacentral:rRNA from 2 species